rnacentral:rRNA from 1 species
GCCCCUUACUGCUGCAGCCUACGCAUUAAGCACUCCCCCUGGGGAGUACGGGCCCAAGACUGAAACUCAAAGGAAUUGACGGGGGACCGCACAAACGGGGGAACAUGGGGGUUAAUUCCAAUGAACGCGAAAAACCUUACCAGGGCUUGGCAUCCUCUGCCAACCCUACAGAUAUGGCUUUCCCCUUCGAGGGACAGAGUGACAGGUGGCAUGUGGGUGUCCACAUCUCGUGUCGAGAGAUGGUGGGUUAACCCCCGCAAAGAGCAACCCCCUUGAUCUUAUGUGCCAACAUUUAGUUGGGAACUCUUGGGAGACUGCCGGGGACAAAUCGGAGGAAGGUGGGGAUGACGUCAAAUCAUCAUGCCCCUUAUGACUUGGGCUACACACGUGCUACAAUGGAUGGUACAAAGGGCUGCGAGACCGCGAGGUGAAGCCAAUCCCAUAAAACCAUUCUCAGUUCGGAUUGCAGGCUGCAACUCGCCUGCAUGAAGCCGGAAUCGCUAGUGAUCGCAGAUCAGCAUGGCGCCGCGAAUAAUUUCCCGGGGUUUGUAACCCCCGCCCGUCCCACCACGAGAGGGUGUAAAAAGCUGAUUCCGGGGGCCUAACGCUU